rnacentral:misc_RNA from 1 species
GAUGAAGAACGUAGCGAAAUGCGAUAAGUAAUGCGAAUUGCAGAAUUUCCGUGAAUCAUCGAAUCUUUGAACGCACAUUGCGCCCGCCAGUAUUCUGGCGGGCAUGCCUGUUCGAGCGUCAUUUCAACCCUCAAGCUCAGCUUGGUGUUGGGACUCGCGGUAACCCGCGUUCCCCAAAUCGAUUGGCGGUCACGUCGAGCUUCCAUAGCGUAGUAAUCAUACACCUCGUUACUGGUAAUCGUCGCGGCCACGCCGUAAAACCCCAACUUCUGAAUGUUGACCUCGGAUCAGGUAGGAAUACCCGCUGAACUUAAGCAUAUCAAUAAGCGGAGGA